UACGUAGGGGGCAAGCGGUUGUCCGGAUUUAUUGGGCGUAAAGAGCGUGUAGGCGGCCAUACAGGUCCGUUGUGAAAACUGGAGGCUUAACCUCCAGACGUCGAUGGAAACCGUAUGGCUAGAGUCCGGAAGAGGAGAGUGGAAGUUCCUGGUGUAGCGGUGAAAUGCGCAGAUAAUCAGGAAGAACACCCGUGGCGAAGG
rnacentral:rRNA from 1 species